rnacentral:tRNA from 1 species
GGGGCUGUGGCGCAGCUGGUAGCGCACCUCGUUCGCAACGAGGGGGUCAGAGGUUCGAGUCCCCUCAGCUCCA